rnacentral:tRNA from 1 species
GGCGACGUGGCCAAGUUGGCUAAGGCAAGGCUCUGCAAAAGCUUGAUCAUGGGUUCGAAUCCCAUCGUCGCCU